UGUCAGGAAAGUGGGUCAGGCAAACAUUUAUUGCUGCAGUACCUUCAAUGGGCUGAUGGCUGUGUUGGAAUGCUGAAUAACCGUAUCUUCUCUGCAUCUAUCAUAUUUGGAGUUUGGUCUUGGGAUUGAGCGCUGAGAUUGGGGGCAGAUCAGCCACUGUUUUCUCUUUGUGUAUUUAAGUUUAAUUUGUGUUUUUUUUUUUUUAUUUUUUUGAGCUUGAUGUUUGAUGUGCUAAAUGUUUGUCAUUUGUAUGAUAUUGCUCUCCUCUUG